rnacentral:rRNA from 1 species
GACGUAGGGCGCGAGCGUUGUCCGGAUUUAUUGGCGUAAAGAGCUCGUAGGCGGUUUGUCGCGUCGUCCGUGAAAACUCACAGCUUAACUGUGAGCUUGCGGUCGAUACGGGCAGGCUAGAGGUUCGGCAGGGGAGACUGGAAUUCCUGGUGUAGCGGUGAAAUGCGCAGAUAUCAGGAGGAACACCGGUGGCGAAGGCGGGUCUCUGGGCCGAUACUGACACUGAGGAGCGAAAAGCGUGGGGAGCGAACAGGAUUAGACUA